GACGAACGCUGGCGGCGUGCUUAACACAUGCAAGUCGAACGGUAAGGCCCUUCGGGGUACACGAGUGGCGAACGGGUGAGUAACACGUGGGUGAUCUGCCCUGCACUUCGGGAUAAGCCUGGGAAACUGGGUCUAAUACCGGAUAGGACCACUGCCUGCAUGGGUGGUGGUGGAAAGCUUUUGCGGUGUGGGAUGGGCCCGCGGCCUAUCAGCUUGGUGGUGGGGUGAUGGCCUACCAAGGCGACGACGGGUAGCCGGCCUGAGAGGGUGACCGGCCACACUGGGGCUGAGAUACGGCCCAGACUCCUACGGGAGGCAGCAGUGGGGAAUAUUGCACAAUGGGCGCAAGCCUGAUGCAGCGACGCCGCGUGAGGGAUGACGGCCUUCGGGUUGUAAACCUCUUUCAGCACCGACGAAGCGCAAGUGACGGUAGGUGCAGAAGAAGGACCGGCCAACUACGUGCCAGCAGCCGCCGUAAUAC
rnacentral:rRNA from 1 species